rnacentral:rRNA from 1 species
GUGGGGAAUCUUGCGCAAUGGGCGAAAGCCUGACGCAGCCAUGCCGCGUGAAUGAUGACGGUCUUAGGAUUGUAAAAUUCUUUCACCGGGGACGAUAAUGACGGUACCCGGAGAAGAAGCCCCGGCUAACUUCGUGCCAGCAGCCGCGGUAAUACGAAGGGGGCUAGCGUUGCUCGGAAUUACUGGGCGUAAAGGGCGCGUAGGCGGACAGUUUAGUCAGAGGUGAAAGCCCAGGGCUCAACCUUGGAAUUGCCUUUGAUACUGGCUGUCUUGAGUACGGGAGAGGUGAGUGGAACUCCGAGUGUAGAGGUGAAAUUCGUAGAUAUUCGGAAGAACACCAGUGGCGAAGGCGACUCACUGGCCCGUUACUGACGCUGAGGCGCGAAAGCGUGGGGAGCAAACAGGAUUAGAUACCCGUGUAGUCC